rnacentral:rRNA from 1 species
UACCUGGUUGAUUCUGCCAGUAGUCAUAUGCUUGUCU